GGGUAUAUACAGCUCAAGUGGUAGAGCGCAUGCUCAGCAUGCACAAGGUCCUGGGUUCAAUCCCCAGUAUCUCCU
rnacentral:tRNA from 1 species